GAUGAACGCUGGCGGCGUGCCUAAUACAUGCAAGUCGAGCGAAUGGAUUAAGAGCUUGCUCUUAUGAAGUUAGCGGCGGACGGGUGAGUAACACGUGGGUAACCUGCCCAUAAGACUGGGAUAACUCCGGGAAACCGGGGCUAAUACCGGAUAACAUUUUGAACCGCAUGGUUCGAAAUUGAAAGGCGGCUUCGGCUGUCACUUAUGGAUGGACCCGCGUCGCAUUAGCUAGUUGGUGAGGUAACGGCUCACGAAGGCCACGAUGCGUAGCCGACCUGAGAGGGUGAUCGGACACACUGGGACUGAGACACGGCCCAGACUCCUACGGGAGGCAGCAGUAGGGAAUCUUCCGCAAUGGACGAAAGUCUGACGGAGCAACGCCGCGUGAGUGAUGAAGGCUUUCGGGUCGUAAAACUCUGUUGUUAGGGAAGAACAAGUGCUAGUUGAAUAAGCUGGCACCUUGACGGUACCUAACCAGAAAGCCACGGCUAACUACGUGCCAGCCGCCGCAGUAA
rnacentral:rRNA from 1 species